rnacentral:rRNA from 1 species
AUACUCCUUAGUGACCGAUAGCGCAUAGUACUGUGAAGGAAAGGUGAAAAGGACCCCGGGAGGGGAGUGAAAGAGAACCUGAAACCCUGUGUUUACAAGCUGUGGGAGCACCUUAUGAGUGCGACCGCGUACUUUUUGUAGAACGGUCCGGCGAGUUACGCUGGCUGGCAAGGUUAAACGGUAGAGCCGUGGAGCCGAAGGGAAACCAAGUCUUAAGAGGGCGGAUAAGUCAGUCAGAGUAGACCCGAAACCGGGUGAUCUAUCCAUGUCCAGGUUGAAGUUGCCGUAAAAGGCAAUGGAGGACCGAACCCACAUCCGUUGAAAAGGGUGGGGAUGAGGUGUGGAUAGGGGAGAAAUUCCAAUCGAACCCGGAGAUAGCUGGUUCUCCUCGAAAUAGCUUUAGGGCUAGCCUCGAUAGAGUCUUGCGGAGGUAGAGCACUGAAUUUCCUAGGGGGCGUCAAAGCUUACCGAAGAAUAUCAAACUCCGAAUGCCGUGUAGAUGCUUAUCGGGAGUCAGACUAUACGAGAUAAGUUGGAUAGUCAAAAGGGAAAGAGCCCAGACCUCCAGCUAAGGUCCCAAAGUACGUGUUAAGUGGAAAAGGAUGUGGGAUUUCGAAGACAACCAGGAUGUUGGCUCAGAAGCAGCCAUACAUUCAAAGAGUGCGUAAUAGCUCACUGGUCGAGAGGUCCUGCGCCGAAAAUGUCCGGGGCUGAAACACGACACCGAAGCUGAGGAAUGUCUAGAGACAUUGGUAGAGGAGCAUUGGAUACGCAACGAAGCAGUACCGGAAGGAGCUGUGGAGUGUAUCGAAGAGAGAAUGCCGGAAUGAGUAGCGAGAGAGAGGUGGGAAUCCUCUCGGCCGAAUAUCUAAGGUUUCCAGGGUAAAGCUGAUCUGCCCUGGGUAAGUCGGGGCCUAAGGCGAGGACGAGAGUCGUAGCCGAUGGACAACAGGUUGAGAUUCCUGUACUGCAGUAAGACAGAACUGUGGGGACACGUGUGGAGAGCAUAGGCGCGGAAUGGAAAGCCGCGUGCAAGCGAGGUAGGAGUCCUGUAGGAAAAACCGCAGGGCAAUCCGAAGGCGUGAUGCGGACCGAAGUUUAGUAGGGAAGUAUGUGAGCCAUGCGUCAAGAAAAGCCGCUAUUGUUCUUAUUGUACCCGUACCGUAAACCGACACAGGUGGAUGAGGAGAGAAUCCUAAGGCCGACGGAAGAAGCAUUGUUAAGGAACUCGGCAAAAUGACCCCGUAACUUCGGGAGAAGGGGUGCCACAGAAAUGAGGCCGCAGAGAAUAGGCUCAAGCAACUGUUUAGCAAAAACACAGGUCUAUGCAAAACCGAAAGGUGAGGUAUAUGGGCUGACGCCUGCCCGGUGCUGGAAGGUUAAGAGGAGAGGUUAGCGCAAGCGAAGCUUUGAAUUGAAGCCCCAGUAAACGGCGGCCGUAACUAUAACGGUCCUAAGGUAGCGAAAUUCCUUGUCGGGUAAGUUCCGACCCGCACGAAAGGCGUAAUGAUUUGAGCGCUGUCUCGACAAUGCAUCCGGUGAAAUUGAAGUACCAGUGAAGAUGCUGGUUACCUGC